rnacentral:lncRNA from 1 species
AGAGUACCUCAAACAAAUCAUUUCAAAUAUGCAUUUUCUCCCUGUAACACAAGUGUAAGGGCCUGACACAUUAAAAUAUAACAGUAGGUGGAACUUAAUUUUAAAUGUAAAAAUUUGCAAAUGCAAACUACAUAAAAAGAAUAAAAUUUAAUUUUGUCAUAUUCAGAUAAUACAUAUUCUCAGAUUAGUGUGAUUUCUUAGUUUUGGCAAAAAGGUAAAUUCUUAUGUUAUUUCCUUAUUCUGAGGGAGUAUAAGUUUGGCAAUGCCCUAGUGUCUAUUGCCCAGGGCAAUAAGAAAGGUUUUGCUGAAACUCAUGCCUUGAUUCAAGACACUUCCGUGAUAAGAAAUUAAUAUUUAAGUAAGAUUAACUGAAAAAUAGAUGCUGCGGUUAAGGCUCUUUCCUCCUUUGAAUUGUUAUUUUGCUUUGUAUUUCUUCAGGCAUUUUUUAGAUAUUUUAUUAAGAUGUAUUUUAUUAAUUCCCAGAGAUUGCUCUUGCUUUUACUUUACCAGCCUCCAGUUUUUGACAUCAUCAUCUAUAUACCAGAAUCAUGGAAGGUCAUCUAAUCCAACCUCUUCAUUUACAGAUCAGAAAAUUGAGGCCCAGAGAGAUAUAGUCAUGUGCCCAACAUCAGAAGUGGGCCUUGAUCUUAAAACUCCUGACUAUUCAUUUUUGUUCCAAUUCUCUUUGCCUACACCCCCUCCGUCAGUAUUUAAAGCCAACCACACAUAUUCUUGCCUGGGAAAUCCCAUGGACAGAGAAGCCUGGCAAGCAAUAGUCUGUGGGGUCGCCAAGAGUCAGACACAGCUUAGUGAUUAAAUACCACCACCCAGUCAACCCCCAACAAAAGGAAAGGCAGUGGGUAAGGCUGUCACACUUUUGAGUUUGUUUCUCUUUUCCACUGCCCUGGGCUUCAAAUCAAGGACAUGUCUGUCAGGUGAAGGUUAAUUUUACUGAGGUUUUUCCAAAACUUCAUUUAAUCCUUAGAAAACUGAGCGUUUUGAAUUUACUCCAAUCCUCCAGGCAUCAUUCCUACUUCUUUUGCCAUGUCAAUGAGACACUGGAGAUCACAUUUUUUCAUAGUAAAAUCACAUUCAAAUACUUCCUCGAUGACCUCGUGCUUGACUUACCUGAACCUGCAAAUGUAAAAAUGAUUGUAUCUGAAUUUGCACUGAUGGUAUAUGAUAGCAGAAGACCUUACUGGAAUCCCCUGUUUAAAUUCAGUAAUUUGGAUGCUACAUACGUCUGCAAUCUUCUUGAUUAUUUUCACUAUAAGAUUAAUUAUCUAAGUUUCAAUGUAUUUCCUUACAGUCUAUUCAUUUGCCAUCUAUCUCUUACCUGGGGAUCAUUAUGAUUGCAAUAAUUCACUGAAGUUUUCCUCAGCUUCUUAAACCAAUUUUUCUGCAUUUCUUUUGCUUACAGUAUGUGGAAAAUCUGGUUUGUUUGUUUUUCCUAGUAAUCAUUUUGUAAGAAAGCGCAGUGUAUCAACUGCCUUGGUGACACAAUUCAUCUUUUCAGGUCUGGAAGCUGGUUGUGACCAAAUGCCAUAUGUCUUCUCUCUGUCAAUUGCUAUUUUCAGAAUUAAAUCAUUUAUUUUUUAUUUUUCACUUUCAGUUGGAGUCAACAUAUUUGGGAAUUUUUAGAAGGGGGAGAAGGGAGCAAUUUGUGUAAUACUGCUGUCAUAUUUGACUACAUAUUAAAAACAAUAAAUGAUCGUUUUGUUUUAAUUUC